UGGGGAAUAUUGGACAAUGGGCGAAAGCCUGAUCCAGCCAUGCCGCGUGUGUGAAGAAGGUCUUCGGAUUGUAAAGCACUUUAAGUUGGGAGGAAGGGCAGUAAGCGAAUACCUUGCUGUUUUGACGUUACCGACAGAAUAAGCACCGGCUAACUCUGUGCCAGCAGCCGCGGUAAUACAGAGGGUGCAAGCGUUAAUCGGAAUUACUGGGCGUAAAGCGCGCGUAGGUGGUUCGUUAAGUUGAAUGUGAAAGCCCCGGGCUCAACCUGGGAACUGCAUCCAAAACGGGCGAGCUAGAGUAGGGCAGAGGGUGGUGGAAUUUCCUGUGUAGCGGUGAAAUGCGUAGAGAUAGGAAGGAACACCAGUGGCGAAGGCGACCACCUGGGCUCAUACUGACACUGAGGUGCGAAAGCGUGGGGAGCAAACAGG
rnacentral:rRNA from 1 species